GUCCAGACUCCUACGGGAGGCAGCAGUAGGGAAUUUUGCGCAAUGGGGGAAACCCUGACGCAGCAACACCGCGUGAAUGUUAAGCCCUUCGGGGUGUAAAGUUCUGUCAAUAGGGACGAAUUUUGACUGUACCUAUAAAGGAAGCACCGGCUAACUCCGUGCCAGCAGCCGCGGUAAUACGGAGGAUGCGAGCGUUAUCCGGAUUUAUUGGGUUUAAAGGGUGCGUAGGCGGAGUGUCAAGUCAGCGGUAAAAUUUCGGGGCUCAACCCCGUCGUGCCGUUGAAACUGACGCCCUUGAGUGAGUGAGAAGUAAGCGGAAUGCGUGGUGUAGCGGUGAAAUGCAUAGAUAUCACGCAGAACGCCGAUUGCGAAGGCAGCUUACCGGCGCUCAACUGACGCUGAGGCACGAAAGUGCGGGUAUCGAACAGGAUUAGAUACCCGUGUA
rnacentral:rRNA from 1 species